UGAUACAACCAAAACAACUCUUAGCGAUAGAUGUCUUGGUUCUGGCAACGAUGAAGAACGCAGCGAACUGCGAUACGUAAUGCGAAUUGCAGAAUUCAGUGAAUCAUCGAAUCUUUGAACGCAUGUUGCACUCUUGGACUUGUGCCGAGAGUAU
rnacentral:rRNA from 1 species